UAGGGAAUCUUCCGCAAUGGGCGAAAGCUUGACGGAGCAACGCCGCGUGAGUGAUGAAGGUCUUCGGAUCGUAAAACUCUGUUAUUAGGGAAGAACAAAUGUGUAAGUAACUAUGCACGUCUUGACGGUACCUAAUCAGAAAGCCACGGCUAACUACGUGCCAGCAGCCGCGGUAAUACGUAGGUGGCAAGCGUUAUCCGGAAUUAUUGGGCGUAAAGCGCGCGUAGGCGGUUUUUUAAGUCUGAUGUGAAAGCCCACGGCUCAACCGUGGAGGGUCAAUGGAGACUGGAAAACUUGAGUGCAGAAGAGGAAAGUGGAAUUCCAUGUGUAGCGGUGAAAUGCGCAGAGAUAUGGAGGAACACCAGUGGCGAAGGCGACUUUCUGGUCUGUAACUGACGCUGAUGUGCGAAAGCGUGGGGAUCAAACAGG
rnacentral:rRNA from 1 species